UACGUAGGGGGCAAGCGUUGUCCGGAUUUAUUGGGCGUAAAGAGCGUGUAGGCGGCCAGGUAGGUCCGCUGUGAAAACUCGAGGCUCAACCUCGAGAUGUCGGCGGAAACCAUCUGGCUAGAGUCCGGAAGAGGAGAGUGGAAUUCCUGGUGUAGCGGUGAAAUGCGCAGAUAUCAGGAAGAACACCCGUGGCGAAGGCGGCUCUCUGGGACGGUACUGACGCUGAGACGCGAAAGCGUGGGGAGCGAGCAGG
rnacentral:rRNA from 1 species